UAGCCAAUCGGGGCGGCCGCGGGGGCGGGGCGGGCGGCAGGAUGGCGGCGGCCAUGGCGAGCGCGGCGGAGCGGGCGGUGCUGGAAGAAGAAUUUAAAUGGCUUUUACAAGAAGAAGUCCAUGCUGUUUUGAAACAGCUGCAGGAUAUUUUGAAGGAGGCCUCUCACCGGUUCAGCCUGCCCGCGAGUGGCUCAGGAGGAGCUGUCAAGCCAGAGAACUUUGUGCUGAGCACGUCAGGCACAGACCAGGUGAAAGGUGUGUUGACACUGCAGGGAGAUGCCCUGUGUCAAGCUGACAUAAAUCUGAAAAUGCCCAGAAAUAAUCAACUCCUGCACUUUGCAUUUCGGGAGGACAAGCAGUGGAAAUUGCAGCAGAUCCAGGACGCUAGAAACCAUGUUAACCAAGCCAUUUACCUGCUUAUGAACAGAGAUGUUAACUACCAGUUCAAAACAGGCUCAGAGGUUCUCAAGCUUAUGGAUGCUGUGAUGUUACAGCUCUCAAGAGCCCGAAAUCGGCUUACCACUCCAGCCACUCUGACUCUACCAGAGAUUGUCUCCACUGGUCUCACAAAAAUGUUCACCCCUGCUCUGCCUCCAGACGUCCUUGUGAAUUUCUAUAUUAACCUGAAUAAGCUGUGCCUGACUGUCUACCAACUCCACGUGCUGCAGCCCAGCACAACCAAGAACUUCAAGCCUGCUGGAGGGUCCAUUUUACACAACCCUGGAGCCAUGUUUGAAUUUGGCAACCAGCGGUAUGAAGUCAGCCAUGUCCAUAAAGUGGAAUGUGUUGUACCAUGGUUAAAUGAUGCCCUUGUCUUCUUCACAGUUUCACUGCAGCUUUGCCAGCAACUGAAGGACAAGAUCUCUGUUUUCUCCAGUUACUGGAACUACAGGCCAUAUUAAUUCCCUGUGGAGUGUCCAAGACCUUACAGUACUUCCAGUGUCUCCCUUUUUAUUUUCAACAUGCCAGCUGAGUCCAGGUCAGCCCGAGGAGUGCUGUGGUUCAUUACCAUGUGGCCUCCCACAGGGUAGGGUCAGUGUAUCCAGACACAAUUUGAAUAGCCUUGUCUGGGACUGCUGCAUGAGCAGGGCACCAAGCAAUGCUGUGUGGUUGGUGAGAGCUUCCGUCUGUCUCUGUUCUCAUGUGGGUUGUGUGGUUUACACUUUCCAAGCUUCUGAUGAAUUACACUAGUCCAUUAUAAGGGAUGGGGAGCUGUGGACCACUCUCACUGACUGUAUUUGCACACAGUGCUGUAACUAACUGCUGGACUGUGAUCUGGCUGGGAAGGGAUGAAGACAGACCAUUUAACACACCACAAAAAGUGUAGGGCAUGCUGCUUCAAGUAGUGAAAUAUGUUUCUGUGAUCUGGUCCAGCUGUGGUUAUGACCAGCCCUGAGCUUCUCCUUCUCCUGUCUGCUCUGUCCAUGCCCAUGUUACUGAUUCCCCUUUGGGGAUAUUCUUACUUGCUGCUGUUUGAACUCUUUUUUUUCCCUGGCAUCAAUGUGAUAAUAUAUAUUUUUUCCCUAAGCCCUAGUUGGGCCAAUUGGUUUUUUCCAGGUUUAGUAUCUUGUUUUCACUGCCAGCCUUUGGAGCUGCCUCGGUACCUUGAGCACAGCUACGCAGUCUCACAUCCUGUCAUUAAACCCAAACGAGCCCUGUCCAGCCUGUGUUUCUGCUGGCUUUCCUCACUGGAGUAUCUUACCCAGGAGCCUACAUGUGUGCUGAGGUGAGGACUGCAGGCUCACUGAAGUCCCUACAAAACGUGAGUGCCAUUGGAGCCUAUCUUGACAGCAUGGUUGUUAAGUGCUAUCCAGAAUGCUGUGCUUAAAAGGAAGAGAUCAGGGAAUCACAGAAUGGUUGAGAUUGGAAGGGGUCGUCUGGGGUCUGUCUGGUCCAAUUCCCCUGCUCAAGCAGGGCCACCCAAAGCCAGAGUCCCAGGACCAGCUUUUGAAUAGCUCCAAGGAUGGACACUAGAGAUAGAUACAUUGCUUUGAUUUCCCCUCACCUCCCCUGCAUAGACCUCUGCUCUGGGUGUGUGUGGCCUACCUCAUCUGUGACCUCCCUUUCUGUCUUUUUGUGGGAUCCCUGAGUGGGUUAGUGCCAGCCUUGUUACUGAUGCAGCCUCCUUCUCUGAGGACUUGACACUUGGUGCUGUGCUUGGUCUAACACAUUUUAGUAUACAGGCUGCAGGCAGUAACAGAGCCUACAAAUGAGUAUCGGGCUGUGACUGAUUAAUAUGUGAGUUAGUAAGUAAUGAAAGGUGGAAGGUAGAGAGGCCUGGAUGGGCUGAUGCAGCAGCAGACUCAUUAUCAAUUCCAGCCAGUUAUACUUAUGACUAGCUGCGGUCAUGACCCUGGGUAUGCAUUUACCAACCCUUGCUCUGUUCCAGACCAUUCGCUGCUUAGAAAGUGAUUGCGCCUGCGUGGAUCUGCUAGCCAUCAACAGCUUCUCAGAUUAGAGUAUUUUUAUAGUUAAUAACCUCUCUGGAGCUGUCUGUGUUUUUCGUUAACCCUCCCUGUGUGUGGAAUAGGCUCCUGUUUUUAAUUCACGCUACUGUGUGCAGUCCAAUCAAUAUUGCCGCAUCCUCUGCAGCUCAGCUUCCUGCUGAUAGGGAUGUAAUAUGCAACCCAGUGUGCGUUGUUUUCUUCUGAUGAAAAUAGUCAUCUUCAGUUCUGGCAGGCAGGAGUGUGCGAAAUGGAAUACCUGUCCUGCUUCCAGCUCUGAUGCACAGUGGCUGUGCCAUGAGGACUGCUAGGUGGCAGUGGUAGCUGCUACAGGACACUGCCCAGAUGACUGUUGCAGAAGAACAGGGUAGCAGCAGUGGUAGGUGGGAUUCAACAGGAGAGGCUGGCCCAGAGCUCUGGCCUGGUACCCUGUGAUUUGAAAGGUAAAACAAGGAUCCACCAAUUAGAACACUUAACAGUCUAUCUCUUUUCCCCACUAAACCUCUGAGCGCAGAAGAAAAUUUACAAGGCCCUAAGGGCUCUGCUUUUGCAGCCCGGUGAGGUUGAUACUGGGAUAGCUACUGGCAGCCACCCCUCCCUUUGCAAAUGCAACUCAAACCUGCUGUGGGCCACAAUCUUUGGCAAUUGCUUGGCAGCACAAGGUGUGUGUGAAGUUUGGGCACCUCUGCAGUACUGCAAGGGCUUUUGAUAGUUACAUGCCCUGAUGAAUGCUGCUGUGUGACUGGAGUAGAAUGAAAUAAUCAGACUGUCUGCCUCUUCCUGGGUUGGGUUUUUAUUCCCUCUGUUGUUUUUUUUUUUUUUUUAGCUUGCUUUGGGGAAGCUCUCAUGAGCAAAACCUUUCCUGGUAGCACCUUUCUUUUUCCCAUUUGCUCCGGGAAUCUCUGCUUUGUCUUCAGGAGGUAGAAGUCUGCUACUUAGAUUCACUGGCUGCCUCCUUUGAUGGUCUAGCAGUUGAGUUGCUGAUGCCUGGAUGCUGCUGGUUCUGGAGCCACAGAAGACACUGUGAUCCACAGGCCUCUGCUGCUGAGCUUCUACAUGCCAUUCAAAUAGGAAUUAAUGUUGCCUGAACUAAGAAGAUGACACUUACUAGGCAGCUUUCAGCAACAGCAUUGCAGCAGGCUAAUGACAGAGCAGAACCACGACUAAGACAGCAAUGAAGAAAGCUUAUUUUACAUCUGCCUCUAGUCUGUCUCCAUCUCAGUAACUACUUCUGCAUCGUCCACAGAGUAGUGACAGACAGUGAGCAGAAUCCCAUGCUGCUUGUCCCAACAUCUCAGCACUGAGCAGACGAGAGUGUCUCCAUGCUGAUCUCAGCUAAGGCAAAAUGUUUGUAAAGAUAAAAAUUUUUCCUUGAGUUGGAGUUGAAACAAAAGGUAUUCAUGUGUGCUGAUGCCAGUCUGCUCAAGUAUUGCUACUGCCAGGGCUUGCUUGGAACUGUGCCUAACAUCCCUGGCCUCAUCCUGCCUUCCAGCUACGGUGGAAGCAUUCGGAGGGCAUGUACCACCAUUCCCAUUCAAGAGUAGGUGCCUUUCAGGGUGCUGCCUUCUGGAGUCGGUGUUCUCAGGACAGAAUCGGACCUUUCUUGUUCUGCAUGUGACCUAGCAAAAAGGGCCACCCUGCCUUAUCAUGGGAUCACCUCUGGGGGCACAAUAUCCCUAAAGCAGAAGGCCUAUACCAGUUGAAAACCUGGCUCCACCCAGGACUGUAAGGGUGCUAGGCAAGGGGGUGAUGCUUUUCAAAUUGGAGGCAUUGUUCAUCUUUGGGAUGAAGAACAAGCUUUCUCUUGGUGCCCCAAGCAUCCUCUGCAAAGGCCAUAGGGAGAAGGGAGCCACUGUUCCCUAGCACAGAGCAGUUUCAUCUUCACAUGCUUUUGCGUCCUCUGGGAAAAGUGAGGCAAACUGUUUCUAAAGUUGAUGCAGCAAAUAAAGCUGGCUGGCUCACUGAUGACAUGCUCCAAAUGUCUCAGCAGGGACUAAAAGGGUUUCCAGAACCUGUGGCUGUGCUUUGAAGCAUCUUCAGAGCCUUGUCCUGCCUCUUAAUGGAUGUUCACAGCCAGGUAUAGUGCUAUGCUUUGCUCUCAGUCCUGCUGGAAAUUAAGCCUGUAUUGGAAGACCUGGACACCACAGCCCUGAAAAGAAGCAUAGCUGGGCCUCCCAUUCAGUCAUCCCAGAAGGGAUUGUAGUAUGAGGAUGCUCCACAGCAUGUUUUGAUGAUCAGGAAGUAUGAGCUUGGAAAAGAAUCCCAGCUUCUAGCUGAAGGGAAACAAUAGUUUCUCCUACUUUGUCCUUGCCCACCCUCCCUCCCUGGCACUUCCCAUGGCUGCUGGCUCUGUGGGGGGGAGCACCUCUUUUCCACUUUGGCUGCAGUAGCUGAGGGUGGUCUGUGGCUUGUAGCUGACAAGUCUGCAUUACUGUAUCUGAUGGGGAUUGUGGGGCUGACUGAUCAAGUGGGUGUAUUGGCCUAGGAUGGCAUCACAGGUACCGUGCAAGGGGUUUGCAUUCAUCCGCAUAGAGAGAAUAGGAAGGGCAAUCACUGUGGUUUUAGAGGAAGAUGGAAAUGGCUAGGCAGCUUUUGGCACUCAAGGUGAAGAUCGAGUCUGAUUUGUAGAUGCAGCAGAGGGAAGAAGCAGGAAAAGUCGUUCUGUCCAGCUGUGAGGUAAAGGGAAGUUUUGGGCUCCAUUGCCAGGUUGUCUAUGCCCACUUUCCUUCUGGGAAUCUAGUUUUGGAAAAGAAUGUGUCAUUGUAAAGAGGAGGGGAAGGAGUUUACACACGCAUGAACACACAAAUUAAAAUAGUUUCCAUGCUUUGUCUGUGCUCAAGCCCAGAUACCACUUCCCUCCCCAGAACAGUGCAAAGGUCCUGGGCACGUCUGUGCCUGCUCAAGCACGUCCAGCCUGCUCUCUCUUCCCCAUCACCGUCCCUGUGUGAAUGUCCCCCUUGGUGGCUGGGCUGUGUUUCUCCUAAGACAUGAGUGUGUCUCUGCAGGGGAGAGCAGGGUCUGUCCAGUGCUCUGCCUGCUUUCCUCCCCUGCCCCCAUUUUGACAAGCAGCACAGAUAGAGCAGGACAGGCCUCAGCCUUGCAAGCUCCUCUGUGUCCCAGGUCAUUCUUGGGGGAGCGGGCUGGGUUUUAUCACCUUGUGUUGUUUUGGGGAGUUACAGUUGCAGCAGCAGAUAAACGCCAGGGGCAGCAGCAGAAGCACAGUCCCUGGAAAAAAGCGAGCAGUUACAUCAGCAUCAAUCUCUAUGUGCCCCCAUUAGCACCCCGCAUUUCAGCAGGUACCCUCUUGGCUGUCUGCUCCACUUUUUCACCCCUGUUAGUCAUGCAAAGUGCUGUACAUCUCACAGGGCAUGGGAACCCUACAAACACCAUCUGAGUCUAGGCUGGUUGGAACUGUACUAGUGUUAGGCAAGGUGACGGCAUGGUUAUGAAAGUAGUCUUGCAACCAGGGGAAGUUACACAGGGAAUGUUUCCUCCAGGCCCCUGUGUCUUUGCUGGUGUUGCUGCCAUUGCCUGCUGAAUGUAAAUGGAGCGGCUGUAUUCUGCCAUUGGGCUGCUGCGGGGCUGCAUGGGUUGCUGGGAUUAGGGCAGCUGGCUGCCAAAGCCAACACCAAGAGAAGCUGUGUGGCACAUGCCUUGUGCUGGGCUAUGCACUCACCCACAAAGAUGAAGAAGAUGGCAAAGGUGGCAAUGUCCCACACUGUCUCAAAGAACCUUUUUCUUGCCAGACAGCUCAGGAAGUCAUGGAUCUCAUUUUCCAGGUCUGGAUAAGCUCAUCAUCUCAAUUUCUGCUCAGAGCUUAUCCAGGUGGCUGACCUAUGGACCUGCUGGGCAGCAAGACAGCCCCUGCUAGCAGGGGGGACUAGAAGAGAAGAGCAGCCAUGCAGUGCUGGUCCCUCACCAGAGGAUUCAGGCCAUUGCCUGGGGACAGGGUGAUCCUUCUAACCCUGAUGUCGAGCCUUCACUUAGGGCUGUCCUUGCAGGGCGGGGAACGCUGCCCAGACUAGAGAAGGACCGUGGCAAGAUUUCUUCUGUCGGGAAAAAGCUGCCCUCAUUUCAUGCAACUGCUGUAGAUGCAGGCUGUCAAGUCAGCAUGGCACCCUGCUCUCUUCUGCGGGCCUGGUCAGUAGGAGAAAGAAGAGGGAUGCAGCCUGCAGAGCUGGCUGGGUGCAUGGCAAUGGGAAGGGCUUCCAGCACUUCGGAAGCCUGGGCUGCCUCUGCUGCAGGAGGAAUAAGUGGAGAAGGCAGCAAGGAUGUACCGACCCUUGCCCCCAUGGCUGCCAGGGCAGUGGAAUCCUGCCCACAGGGAGGAGAGAGCAGGAGAGCCCAGAGUAUCCAGGGCCUGAUGCCCCCAGAGGCAGGUGGGCCAUGCCUAGGGCAUGGAGGGAGGAGAAGGGCAUGUCCCAGGGCUGUGGCCAGGCCUUGCCCUUGCUCCCUCUCCCAGUCACAUUUCCCUGUUAGCCUGGUCUGGCCUUUCCCUGCUGCCUGUGUGCUAGCUCUGCCUCACAUCCCCUUCUCGGGUGCCCAAGGCAGAGCUGGUUGCCAUGGCCUGGCCCCCACCUUGUCCCCAGACAGGCCUACAGCUAGGCAGGGAGGCGCAGGGGAGCAGCGGGAAGAAAACCCCUUCUGGCAGCCAUGUGGUGCUCAGGGCAAGGGUGGCUCCAGGGCCCGGCUUUCAAGCUGUGCGGAUGCGGGUGCCAGCCCCGUGGAAAGUGGAUCCCCAGCCAGGAAGGGAGCUGAAGGCUGCCGGCCCAGCUUGCCUCCUGGCUCAGCCAGAGGAGAGGGGAGCCUGAUGCCAGGCCUGUCUUGGUCCCAUGGCAGCACCCCAUAAAGCAGCCCUUUCCCUGGAUCCAAGGUAUCUGAGCCACAGGCAUGGUCAGGAAUGACAGGGUGAGCUAACGGUCUGGGAAGGGAUGAUGGGGAUGCCCAGCUCUGCUGUACAGUGGCUGUGCUCUCCUGCGGUGUGUCAUGGCACAGGGAGGAAUGGGAAGGCUUGCAGCCAUGCUGGGGGGCUAUGGGUUGUGGCCCUGGGGAGGCAGGCACAGGUGGGGUCACAGGCAGCAUGUGGGGUUCCCCAUUGCGCUGCCCAUCCCCAAGCACACAGAAGCAGUCCCUGUGGGUUUCAGAGGAGCUGCUCUGGAAGAAAACCUCUCCGGGCUGGUGCUUGGCUUCCUCCCUGCUGUGGUGCCUCGGGUCCCUCUUUGUGUGGCGUCAGGCCCCUCUGCUUCACCUGGCCUCCUAGUGCUCCUGCCUUGCUUUUCUCCGCUCAGACUGUGGGAUUGGAAGGGCUGAGAUGUGAGAGAUCCACAACAUCCGUGCAGAGAAGCGAAAGGUAUGAUGUUAGUGAAAGGGAAUCAGAAAGUGGAAAGUGAUUGAACCAUAAGGCACACUACUCUCGUUGUCUCAUCUCAGUGAAAUGAAAGACCAGCACAGCUGACUGAAAGAAAUGGAAUAUUGAAAAUUUAUUUUCCACGAGUUGUUAGUAACAAUAGUUAAAAAUAAGUAGUAAUAUCAACUUGAGGUAAAUCAUUUAACUACCAUAUUGUAGAAUGAUCCUAUUUUUUUUUCAGAAUUUUGAUAAUUUUUUAAACCGGUAGUCCUGUGAGGAGCAGAGAGUUGGACUCGAUGAUCCAUAUGGGUCCCUUCCAGCUUGAGAUAUUCUGUGAUGCUAUGUAGUUCAGGGGUGCAUGGUGUGAUCACACCUGCUCUUCAUCUUGCAGGCUGUGAAACAGCCUAGCCCUCCUGUGUAGGUCCUGUGAGGAUGCCUGACCACUGGCCUGACUCAGUUUCCCUUCAUGUAGUUGCAUCCUAUUUGCUUUCCCCUUUUCUUGUUAAAUUCACUUCUACGUAAAGAGACUGUAGCUGCACUCAUACUCCCUAUGUAAGGACGUCUAUGUGUAUAUGCCAUGGGGCAGCAAAUCCCUGAUGACCUAGACAUGAUCUUUCAGGUCCUUGUGAUCAUUGACCAGGCACAUGGUCUUAAAGAAGAGUCUGUCAGAGGAUGCUGCAGUGGUGGAUGACCCCUCUACCAGGGUCGGUGGGUGCAUGCCUGCCAGGGUGGGCCCCUGGGAGCCAGCCGAGGAAGGGGGCACCAACUGCAGAGCUCCCCUUAUCUCUGGUCCGUCAGCAAAACAGCCUCUCUCUUGUUUUCCUCUGCUACCACUGGCAAAGAUUUCAUGGGGUGGGUCAGGGUAGAAGGACGGCCUCUAGGACCCACCUACUGUGGAGUGGAAGUCCUGUCCCCACUCCUGGCCCGGUUGCAGGUAGCCCUUUCCAGGCUUGUGGGGACCAGCCGUCAGGGCACAGGGCACAGAAAUGUCCAAUACCAAGAUCUGCUUUUCAUUUUUGCACAACAACAAAAAAUCACAUAGAAAAAGUAGUUUGCUGGAUCAAGCCAUCCCAACAGAGCAAGGAAAGGGUGGGACAAGUUGUAUGAGGUGAAGAUGUAGGUUUAGAGGCAAGCUGAUCAGUCCUGAUCAACUUGAAAAAACAUUUAUUUUGGACGCAGUAUUUCUCCCUCAAACCCCAGCAAGCCUGGAAGCCAAUCCUCCUAACCUAUGUGUUUUUCAGCCAGCUGGAAAGGGCCAUUGACUCCCUUUUGACCAUGUAUCUUUUUUUUUUUUUUAAUAUCAACUGCAGUGAGAUUCACAGCUUCCAUGAAGGAGACAUGCACAGCUGCCCAGCUGCCCCCUUCUCUACACCAAUCGCUUGCUGCAGGUCGGUAGUAGUGUAGCCCCAGUAGGUGCCCCCACGGGCAAUGUUUGUUUCUCUGAGUGAGCAGGACAGUCUUACAGGAAAGGCAGUAACGCCGUCAGAGGCCCCACUUCAGUGACAUCUCAGCAUUUGCUCAACAGGAAUGUCAACUCCAGGGAAACAAGAGAUGCAUACAUUGACAGCAGUGUUUUGCAACACAUAGGCUGUCCAGUGUACUUACAAGGCUUCAGAAGUGCUCAAUGCAAAUAGGCAAAACCCUCAAUUAAGGCUUUUACAGUAGCUUGUCAGGUCUGUUGAUGAUAUGCCAUGGAGUAGUUUAGCUGAAGCUGAGUUUAGCUGAAGCUUUGACUCCAGUUUACAAGGGCUAGAAGUUUAGCUGGUGGUAACUGUCAUAGCCUUAGUUAACAGCUGAAAAUGUUCUUGGCGUGAUUUUUGUGGAUGUGCAUUCCAGGCAGCUGGAGGUGGAUGGUACACUCCUCAGGAAGGCAGCGUGGGGUCAGAACAGCGCUGGUGCCGUGGAAGUGCAAGCAGGAUGAUAAUUCCCAGCAGUGUGUGCUGGUCUGUCAUGGUUUUAGCUGGGAUAGAGUUAAUUUUCUUCACUGCUGCUGGCCUAGUGCUGUGCUUUAGACUUAGCAUGAAAACUAUGUUGAGAUAACACACAGAUAUUUUGGCUGUUGCUGGGCAGUGCUUGUACUAGUCAAGGGCUUUUCCAGCUCCCCAUGCUCUGCUGGGUGCACAAGCAGCCAGGAGGGGAGGGGGCACAGCUAAGGGAGCGGAUUCAACCUGGCCAAAGGGAUAUUCCAUAUCAUGUAACGUCAUGCCCAGUGUGUUACCUGGGAGGGGCUGGCCGGGGGAGGGAGGCAGCAAUCACGGCUCGGGGACGGGCAGCAUCGGUUGGUGGGUGAUGAGCAGUUGUAUCGUUUGUGUUUCUGGUUUUUUUACUUUUCCCUUUUAUUAUAUUAUCAUUAUUGUCAUUGUUAUCAUUAUUAUUAUAAUUAUUAUUUUAUUGUCAUUAUUAAACUGUGCUUAUCUCAA